ensembl:lncRNA
UUUUUUUUUUUUUUGGCUUUUUCAGGGCUGUACCCACAGCAUAUGGAGGUUCCCAGGCCAGGGGUCAAAUCGAAGUUACAGCUGCCAGCCUACACCACAGCAACGCCAGAUCUGAGCUGCAUUUACAACCUACACCACAGCACAUGGCAAUGCCGGAUCCUUUACCCACUGAGCGAAGCCAGGAAUCGAACCUGCAACCUCAUGGUCACUAGUCAGAUUCGUUUCUGCUGCACCACAACAGGAACUCCCCAACUUUUAAAAAUAUACAUUCAUUUAACUUGAGGAGACAAUCUAACAUGUCCCCUUUUAUUUUAUUUUAUUUUUUUUGUCUUUUCUUGAGCUGCUCUCGCGGAAUAUGGAGGUGCAGCCCUAGAAAAGACAAAAGACAAAAACAAAAAAACAAAAAAAAACUUCAUUUCAGUUUUCUCCUGGGACCUUCUCUCAACCCCCUAUUAACCGUCCAGCCUCGGGGGUUUCCUGGUGGCCUAGUGAUGAAAGACUCAGCAUUGUUACUGCUGGGGCCCAGGUUUAAUCCUUGGCUUGGGAAAUUCCACAUACGUGGGCGUGCUCCCCCUGAAAAUAGUCCAGGAUCUGAUGAACACUUAAAUCAUUCCUUACUCAUCUCAUUCCCUUAUAAAAAGAAACGCCUGCCCUGCUAUUCCUCUACCCAAUACAAGGUAUACCAAACAAAAAUGAGCUAUUCAGGAGAUACAGAAUCUAACCACUGAGAGCGAUGGUUCUGCAAAAACAAAACUGAAUGAUCACGUAUUAAGGAAAUCCACUUAGUAACAAUUAGCAUCCUCCCUCUCUUCCCCAGUCAAAUAUAGAUGGUAGCCUUCAAAACUCAACUGAAAGGCAUUUGGAAUUUCAUGCAACAAAGGCUAUGUUUUGGUUUGUCCCUGCUAGUAAGCUUUGCUGAAUACCUACCUCAAGAGAGGUAUACCAGUAUACUCUUUAAAUGUUUAUAUUCCAUGGAGUCCUUAAUAUUUUGUAAUGAAAUGAAAAUUGUAUCUUAAUGUGAGUCUCAAUUGGUUUUGUAAAACUCCUGUGAAACAGCUAUUUACUCACUUAAUCGACUUUCCCAAACCAGAGUGUUAUAAAAAUAAUUAUUAACUGCUCAUUAAAGUGCAACACAGGAUCUCAAAAGAGAUGCGAUAUAUUGGAAUUAAAGUGUUUUCCUAUUGAAAUAUAGCUCUUAAUUAAAAUGAAAGCACUUCCUCAAAAGGCAUAUGUUCUUUAAUGGAACAAUUAAACUAGAUAAAUACACUAGUCUUUUUAAAAAAUAUUUUAUAUAUAAAGAUUCAAAAGCAUCAAACACUGCAAUGAGGUGGAGUAAGAGGACAAAAUUCCUAACUUUAAAACAGUGGCACGGCUAUAUCGCUUAGUCGCCACAAAACAUCAAAUAAUUUGGUGAAGUCUCUCUGAACUUUUAAAACUUUGUAUUACAACCUAUCUCACAGGGUUUUCAUGAGGACUUAGAUAACAUCUGCUCACUUGACCAAUAUUUAUUUAGCAACUAUUACGUUCCAAACCCUGAAACAAAAUACACAUCAGUAGAUAGAGCAAAGUCCAUGCUGAACUUCUAUGCUAUUUGAGAAGGAAACAGGACAGGUAUGUCCUGCCUAGGAAGACAAAUGAGACCUUUAAGUUACUGGCAAUUCAAAACAAAACAGUGCCCAGAACGCAGAAGGUGCUCAAAAGUUUCUUCCAACCUUCAUGCUGAUAUAUAUUUAGUUCUGUUCGAUGUAUCACUACCUCCGUUCUCAAUAAAUUAUACAAAUCAAUCAUAAUAUAUUUAUACCCACUUAUUCUCGACUCCGACCAGAAUGAAAAACAAAAUUAAGGUUGAUUCCAUCAGAAUAAAAAUACCAAGGACUUUGCAGCUGUCCC